AGGGCGUACGGUGGAUGCCUAGGCUCUUACAGGCGAAGAAGGACGUGAUAAGCUGCGAAAAGCUGCGGCGAGGUGCAAAUGACCCUUGACCCGCAGAUGUCCGAAUGGGAAAACCCGGCAGGUUGAAGGCCUGUCAUCAUGGCACGAGUCAUGAGGCGAACGCGGGGAACUGAAACAUCUUAGUACCCGCAGGAAGAGAAAAUAACAAUGAUUCCCCAAGUAGUGGCGAGCGAACGGGGAAGAGCCCAAACCAUUGUGGUAGCAAUGCCAUGAUGGGGUUGUAGGACCACGUCAUCGCAAGAAGCGAGUGAGGAUGACAUGCUGGAAAGUAUGGCCAUAGCGGGUGAAAGCCCCAUGUCCGAAGCGAGCGGAAGCGUAGUGGUAUCCUGAGUAGCGCGGGACACGUGAAAUCCUGUGUGAAUCCGGCGGGCCCAUCCGCCAAGGCUAAAUACUCGUAAGAGACCGAUAGUGAACCAGUACCGUGAGGGAAAGGUGAAAAGCACCCCUAGCAGAGGAGUGAAAGAGUUCCUGAAACCGUACGCCUACAAGCGGUCGGAGCAUGCUAGCAUGUGACGGCGUGCCUUUUGCAUAAUGAACCUACGAGUUACCGUUGUUGGCAAGGUUAAGUGUCAUGAGACACGUAUCCGAAGCGAAAGCGAGUCUGAAUAGGGCGUUGAGUCAUCAGCGGUAGACGCGAAACCAAGUGAUCUACCCUUGUCCAGGUUGAAGUCCGGGUAACACCGGAUGGAGGACCGCACCAAUAAGCGUUGAAAAGCUUCUGGAUGAGGUGAGGGUAGGAGUGAAAGGCCAAUCAAACUUGGAGAUAGCUCGUACUCCCCGAAAUGCAUUUAGGUGCAGCCUUUUCCGUUCCCUGAUGGAGGUAGAGCGACUGAUUGGAUGCGAGGGUUUCACCGCCUAUCAAGUCCAGACAAACUCCGAAUGCCAUCAGGCCAGAGGAAAGGAGUGAGGGCAUGGGUGCUAAGGUCCGUGCCCGAGAGGAGAAGAAUCCGGACCGCCGGCUAAGGUCCCGAAAUACAGGUUAAGUUAGACUAACGCAGUAGGAUUCCUGUGACAGCUAGGAUGUUGGCUUGGAAGCAGCCAUUCAUUCAAAGAGUGCGUAACAGCUCACUAGUCGAGGGAUCCCGCAUGGAUAAUAAUCGGGUAUGAAACCUGUUACCGAAGCCGCGGGAUACGAUAAGGUAUCGGUAGGGGAGCAUUCCAGAUGCGUAGAAGGUGUCAGGACGACUGAUGCUGGAGCGUGUGGAAAAGCAAAUGUAGGUAUAAGUAACGAUAAAGGGGGUGAGAUGCCCCCUCGCCGAAAGGCCAAGGUUUCCUGGGCAACGUUAAUCGUCCCAGGGUCAGUCGGGUCCUAAGCAUAAUCCGAUCUGGAGAGUGCGAUGGCAGAAACGGUAAAGAUUCCGUUACUAUCCAAGGAUGCGAUGCGGAGACGGAGAAGUGACACUUCCGCGCCCUGACGGAAUAGGGCGUUGAAAUGCAAAGACGCAGAUGCGGGCAGGCAAAUCCACCCGCAGAGUUGAAGCAUGAGAGUAGAGGCAGCCUUCGGGUGAGCCUGAAAGUGAAGGUAAUCAGACUCCCGAGAAAAUCCGCUAAGCUCCAGUUCUUGGAUACCCGUACCGUAAACGGACACACGUGGCCGGGUAGAAUAUACUAAGGCGCUUGGGAGAUUCAUGGUUAAGGAACUAGGCAAAUUGACCCUGUAACUUCGGGAAAAAGGGUCCUCACGUGAGUGAGGCGCAGAGAAUAGGUCCAGGCAACUGUUUAACAAAAACACAGGACUGUGCAAAAUCGAAAGAUGCGGUAUACAGUCUGACACCUGCCCGGUGCCGGAAGGUUAAGAGGAGAUGUCAUCUUCGGAGAAGCAUUGAAUUGAAGCCCCGGUAAACGGCGGCCGUAACUAUAACGGUCCUAAGGUAGCGAAAUUCCUUGUCGGGUAAGUUCCGACCUGCACGAAUGGUGUAAUGAUCCGGACACUGUCUCAACCAUGAUCCCAGUGAAAUUGUAGUAUCGGUGAAGAUGCCGAUUACCCGCGAUGGGACGAAAAGACCCCGUGAACCUUUACUAUAGCUUAACGUUGGAACUGGGCAUAUCAUGUGUAGGAUAGGCCGGAGACUGAGAGUGCGGCACGCCAGUGCUGUAGGAGUCGUUGUUGAAAUACGGCCCUUGGUCUGUCUGGUUUCUAACUCCCGUUAUGGGAGGACAUCGUUUGGUGGGUAGUUUGACUGGGGUGGUCGCCUCCAAAAGCGUAACGGAGGCUUCUAAAGGUACCCUCAGGCCGAUUGGUAACCGGCCGUAGAGUGUAAUGGCAGAAGGGUGCUUGACUGGGAGGCCGACAAGCCGAGCAGGUAGGAAACUAGAGCAUAGUGAUCCGGUGGUUCCGUAUGGAA
rnacentral:rRNA from 1 species